GACGAACGCUGGCGGCGUGCUUAACACAUGCAAGUCGAACGAAGUGGCGAACGGGUGAGUAACGCGUAAUUAACCUGCCCUUCAGCGGGGGACAACAGUUGGAAACGACUGCUAAUACCGCAUACUGAGGGAGGGGAUUGCGUUUGAUUAGCUAGUGGGGGGGGUAACGGCCCACCAAGGCGAUGAUCAGUAGCCGGUCUGAGAGGAUGAACGGCCACAAUGGGACUGAGACAAGGGCCAGACUCCCACGGGAGGCAGCAGUGGGGAAUCUUCCGCAAUGGACGAAAGUCUGACGGAGCAACGCCGCGGGAGUGAUGACGGCCUUCGGGUUGUAAAGCUUUGUUAAUCGGGACGCGGUACCGGAAUAGAAAGCCACGGCUAACUACGUGCCAGCAGCCGCGGUAAUAC
rnacentral:rRNA from 1 species